UACAGAGGGCCCAAGCGUUGUUCGGAUUCACUGGGCGUAAAGGGCGCGUAGGCGGUCGGGUAAGUCUGACGUGAAAUCUUCAAGCUCAACUUGGAAACUGCGUCGGAUACUAUUCGGCUAGAGGAAUGGAGGGGAGACUGGAAUACUUGGUGUAGCAGCGAAAUGCGUAGAUAUCAAGUGGAACACCAGUGGCGAAGGCGAGUUGCUGGGCCGACACUGACGCUGAGGCGCGAAAGCUAGGGGAGCGAACGGG
rnacentral:rRNA from 1 species